rnacentral:misc_RNA from 1 species
GAUGAAGAACGCAGCGAAAUGCGAUAAGUAAUGUGAAUUGCAGAAUUCAGUGAAUCAUCGAAUCUUUGAACGCACAUUGCGCCCGCCAGUAUUCUGGCGGGCAUGCCUGUUCGAGCGUCAUUUCAACCAUCAAGCCCCCGGCUUGUGUUGGGGACCUGCGGCUGCCGCAGGCCCUGAAAACCAGUGGCGGGCUCGCUAGUCACUCCGAGCGUAGUAAUACAUCUCGCUCAGGGCGUGCUGCGGGUUCCGGACGUUAAAAAAGCCUUAUUUACCCAAGGUUGACCUCGGAUCAGGUAGGAAGACCCGCUGAACUUAAGCAUAUCAAUAAGCGGAGGA